UCACUUACCUGGACGAGGUCAAUGGGCGAUCAAAAAGGUCCAUGGCCUAGGUUGGUGACCUCCAUUGCACUUUGGAGGGGUGCCCGCCUAAGGUCGGCCCCAAGUGGUCGAGCCUACGUCAUAAUUUGUGGCAGCUGGGGCCUGUGUUCGCGCGGCCCCUGC
rnacentral:snRNA from 1 species